rnacentral:tRNA from 1 species
GCCCGCCUAGCCCAACGGUAGAGGCGCACGGCCUAGACCCGUGUUGUUCCCGGUUCGAAUCCGGGGGUGGGUA